AAAACGACUCUCGGCAACGGAUAUCUCGGCUCUCGCAUCGAUGAAGAACGUAGCAGGAAAUGCGAUACUUGGUGUGAAUUGCAGAAUCCCGUGAACCAUCGAGUCUUUGAACGCAAGUUGCGCCCCAAGCCUUCUGGCCGAGGGCACGUCUGCCUGGGUGUCACAA
rnacentral:rRNA from 1 species